rnacentral:rRNA from 1 species
UCAAGCAAUGGAGGGUCCGUGGAGGAUGCCUUGGAGCCACCAGGCGAUGAAGGACGCGGCAAGCUGCGAUAAGCCGCGGGGAGCUGCAGCGUAGCUGUGAUCCGCGGACGUCCGAAUCGGGUAACCGGCACGCCGGAGGGCGUGCGUCCCGCGGCCGAACACAUAGGCUGGGGGAAGCCAUACGCGGGGGAGUGAACCAUCUGAGUACCCGCAGGAAGAGAAAUCAAACGAGAUUCCGCCAGUAGCGGCGAGCGAACGCGGAGGAGCCCAAACCGGGCGGCUUCGGCCGGCCGGGGUUGCAGGGCCGGCGCGGGGUUUUCCCGCGGUCCGUGGGCAUGCGAGCGGAACGGUCUGGGAAGGCCGGCCGGAGCGGGUGAGAGCCCCGUACGCGAAGCGAUGCCCGGGGCCGUGGCGCCGGAGCCUGAGUACCGCGGGACACGAGGAAUCCCGCGGGAAGCUGGGGGGACCACCCUCCAAGGCUGAACACUCGGUGGCUACCGAUAGAGCAGAGUACCGUGAGGGAAAGGUGAAAAGGACCCCGGGAGGGGAGUGAAAGAGAACCUGAAACCACGGACCCGCAAGCGGUCGCGGCGGGGCUUUUGCCCCGUGGCGGCGUGCCUUUUGUAGAAUGAGCCUGCGAGUUGCCGUGCGUGGCGAGGCGAGGGGACGGGAGUCCCGGAGCCGGAGGGAAACCGAGUCCGAACAGGGCGCGAGUCGCGCGGGGCAGACCCGAAGCCAAGUGAUCUAGCCGCGGCCAGGCUGAGGCAGGGGUGAAACCCUGUGGAGGGCCGAACCUAAGUCCGCUGAAAAGGGCUGGGACGAGCUGCGGCUGGGAGUGAAAGGCUAAACAAACUUGGAGAUAGCUGGCACUCUCCGAAAUAGCUUUAGGGCUAGCGUCGUGCGGAAAGCGCGGGAGGUAGAGCACCGGAUAGGCGAGGGGCCGUCACUGGCUGCCGGGCUUAACCGAACUCCGAAUGCCCGCGCGUGGCGCACGGCAGCCAGACGGCGGCUGAUAAAGGCCGUCGUCGAGAGGGGAACAGCCCGGACCGCCGGCCAAGGUCCCGAAUGCGCGCCGAGUGGGAAAGGAGGUGCGGAUGCACAGACAGCCAGGAGGUUGGCUCAGAGGCAGCAACGCCUCCAAGGAGUGCGUAACAGCUCACUGGUCGAGUAUCCGCGCGCCGACAAUUCAGCGGGGCUAAGCGCGCAACCGAAGCCGCGGGCCUCCUCCCGUUGGGGAGGGGGCGGUAGGAGAGCAUGCCGCAUGCGGGCGAAGCGGGGGCGGGAGCCCCCGUGGACGAUGCGGCAGAGAGGAUGCAGGCAUGAGUAACGUGAAAGAGGGGUGGGAUCCCCCUCCGCCGGAAGCCUGAGGUUUCCAGGGUAAAGGCAAUCUGCCCGAGGGUCAGCCGGCCCCUAAGGCGAGGGUGAGGACCGUAGCCGACGGGAAGCGGGUCAACAUUCCCGCGCCGGCCGCGCUUACGAUGGUGGCGACACGCGAGGACUGUGCGCGCGGGCUGGCGGAAUAGCCCGCGGAAGGCGCGAGCCUGCGAGGGCCGGGGGAAAAUACGGCCCGAGGCGAGCGCGGAAGGAGCCCUCCCACGGGGGGGCGAAGGCGCACGGUUCAUGGCGGCGAGAAAGAGCCACUGGGAGCUACGCGGCCGACCGUACCAGAGACCGACACAGGUGGGCGAGCUGAGAAUGCGAAGGCGGCGGAAGAGUUCGCGUCAAGGAACUCGGCAAAAAGCAUGCGUAACUUCGGGAGAAGCAUGGCUCCCGCGAGGGAGCCGCAGAGAAACGGCCCAUGCGACUGUUUACCAAAAACACAGGUCCGCGCGAACCGGCGACGGGAGGUAUGCGGACUGACACCUGCCCGGUGCCGGAAGGUCAAGGGGAGCCGUCAGCGCGAGCGAAGCGGCGAGCCCAAGCCCCGGCAAACGGCGGCCGUAACUAUAACGGUCCUAAGGUAGCGAAAUUCCUUGUCGGGCAAGUUCCGACCCGCACGAAAGGUGUAACGAUAUGGGCGCUGUCUCGACGCGAAAUCCGGUGAAAUUGAAGUCCAGGUGAAGAUGCCUGGUACCCGUGGUUAGACGGAAAGACCCCGUGAACCUUUACUUCAGCCUGGCGCCGGCGUGCGCAAGGGCACGUGCAGGAUAGGCGGG